GUCAGGAUGGCAGAGCGGUUUAAGGCGCUGUGUUCAGGUUGCAGUCUCCUAUGGAGACGUGGGUUCAAAUCCCACUUCUGACA